rnacentral:rRNA from 1 species
GCGAGCGCAGGCGGUCUUUUAAGUCUGAUGUGAAAGCCCACGGCUCAACCGUGGAGGGUCAUUGGAAACUGGAAGACUUGAAUGCAGAAGAGGAAAGUGGAAUUCCAUGUGUAGCGGUGAAAUGCGUAGAUAUAUGGAGGAACACCAGUGGCGAAGGCGACUUUCUGGUCUGUAAUUGACGCUGAGGCUCGAAAGCGUGGUGAGCGAACAGGAUUAGAUACCCUGGUAGUCCACGCCGUAAACGAUGAGUGCUAAGUGUUGGAGGGUUUCCGCCCUUCAGUGCUGGAGCUAACGCAUUAAGCACUCCGCCUGGGGAGUACGGCCGCAAGGCUGAAACUCAAAGGAAUUGACGGGGACCCGCACAAGCGGUGGAGCAUGUGGUUUAAAUUCGAAGCAACGCGAAGAACCUUACCAGAUCUUGACAUCCUCUGACCACCCAAGAGAUUGGGCUUUCCCUUCGGGGACAGAGUGACAGGUGGUGCAUGGUUGUCGUCAGCUCGUGUUCUUAAAAUCUUGGUUAAAUUCCGUUAAGGGGGCAACCCCUUAUGUUUAGUUUUCACCAUCCAGUUGGCCAUUUUAGGGAGAUUGCCGGUGGAUAAACCGGAGGAAGCCGGGGAUGACGUCAAAUCAUCAUGCCCCUUAUGAUCUGGGCUACACACGUGCUACAAUGGAUGGUACAACGAGUCGCGAGACCGCGAGGUUUAGCUAAUCUCCUAAAGCCAUUCUCAGUUCGGAUUGCAGGCUGCAACUCGCCUGCAUGAAGCCGGAAUCGCU